GACAGAGGGGGCAAGCGUUGCUCGGAAUCACUGGGCGUAAAGGGCGCGUAGGCGGGAUGGCAAGUCGGUCGUGAAAUCCUUCGGCUCAACCGAAGAACGUCGGCCGAUACUGCCGUUCUUGAGGGAUGCAGAGGAGAUUGGAAUUCCCGGUGUAGCGGUGAAAUGUGUAGAGAUCGGGAGGAACACCGGUGGCGAAGGCGGGUCUCUGGGCAUCUCCUGACGCUGAGACGCGAAAGCGUGGGGAGCGAACCGG
rnacentral:rRNA from 1 species